rnacentral:rRNA from 1 species
UGAACGCUAGCUACAGGCUUAACACAUGCAAGUCGAGGGGCAGCAUUUUAGUUUGCUUGCAAACUGAAGAUGGCGACCGGCGCACGGGUGAGUAACACGUAUCCAACCUGCCGAUAACUCCGGAAUAGCCUUUCGAAAGAAAGAUUAAUACCGGAUAGCAUACGAAUAUCGCAUGAUAUUUUUAUUAAAGAAUUUCGGUUAUCGAUGGGGAUGCGUUCCAUUAGUUUGUUGGCGGGGUAACGGCCCACCAAGACAACGAUGGAUAGGGGUUCUGAGAGGAAGGUCCCCCACAUUGGAACUGAGACACGGUCCAAACUCCUACGGGAGGCAGCAGUGAGGAAUAUUGGUCAAUGGGCGAGAGCCUGAACCAGCCAAGUAGCGUGAAGGAUGAAGGCUCUAUGGGUCGUAAACUUCUUUUAUAUGGGAAUAAAGUUUUCCACGUGUGGAAUUUUGUAUGUACCAUAUGAAUAAGGAUCGGCUAACUCCGUGCCAGCAGCCGCGGUAAUACGGAGGAUCCGAGCGUUAUCCGGAUUUAUUGGGUUUAAAGGGAGCGUAGGUGGAUUGUUAAGUCAGUUGUGAAAGUUUGCGGCUCAACCGUAAAAUUGCAGUUGAAACUGGCAGUCUUGAGUACAGUAGAGGUGGGCGGAAUUCGUGGUGUAGCGGUGAAAUGCUUAGAUAUCACGAAGAACUCCGAUUGCGAAGGCAGCUCACUAGACUGUCACUGACACUGAUGCUCGAAAGUGUGGGUAUCAAACAGGAUUAGAUACCCUGGUAGUCCACACAGUAAACGAUGAAUACUCGCUGUUUGCGAUAUACAGUAAGCGGCCAAGCGAAAGCAUUAAGUAUUCCACCUGGGGAGUACGCCGGCAACGGUGAAACUCAAAGGAAUUGACGGGGGCCCGCACAAGCGGAGGAACAUGUGGUUUAAUUCGAUGAUACGCGAGGAACCUUACCCGGGCUUAAAUUGCAACAGAAUAUAUUGGAAACAGUAUAGCCGUAAGGCUGUUGUGAAGGUGCUGCAUGGUUGUCGUCAGCUCGUGCCGUGAGGUGUCGGCUUAAGUGCCAUAACGAGCGCAACCCUUAUCUUUAGUUACUAACAGGUGAUGCUGAGGACUCUAGAGAGACUGCCGUCGUAAGAUGUGAGGAAGGUGGGGAUGACGUCAAAUCAGCACGGCCCUUACGUCCGGGGCUACACACGUGUUACAAUGGGGGGUACAGAAGGCGGCUACCUGGUGACAGGAUGCUAAUCCCAAAAACCUCUCUCAGUUCGGAUCGAAGUCUGCAACCCGACUUCGUGAAGCUGGAUUCGCUAGUAAUCGCGCAUCAGCCAUGGCGCGGUGAAUACGUUCCCGGGCCUUGUACACACCGCCCGUCAAGCCAUGAAAGCCGGGGGUACCUGAAGUACGUAACCGCAAGGAGCGUCCUAGGGUAAAACUGGUAAUUGGGG